rnacentral:misc_RNA from 1 species
CACUGUCAGAAGAGACCCUCCCAUCUUGGUGGUGGUACCGCCGGUGGGACCAUCUGACACGAUGGAGAAGCCGGAUGGGAGGAGGGCCACGUAGGCGGAGUCGCCACCAUUCAUCACAAGGUGCAUUGCUGGGACAUCGACGGGGGCGUACACCACCAGAGAGCCGGAGGCAUCAGUGCAAGUUUCCUGCAGAAUAAGCAUGCUGUUCUCGCUUGCACGGAGGAGAGAGACAGCAUUUCCAUGGUCCUGCCCCUUGGCAAUGUGAG